rnacentral:rRNA from 1 species
CCUACGGGUGGCUGCAGUGAGGAAUAUUGGUCCAUGGGCGCGAGCCUGAACCAGCCAAGUCGCGUGAGGGAUGACGGUCCUACGGAUUGUAAACCUCUUUUGCCGAGGCGCCAGCAUGCGUUCGUGAACGCGCGUCGAGAGUACCCGGCGAAAACGCAUCGGCUAACUCCGUGCCAGCCGCCGCGGUAAUACGGAGGAUGCGAGCGUUAUCCGGAUUUAUUGGGUUUAAAGGGUGCGUAGGCGGGAUGCCAAGUCAGCGGUCACAAUGCGGUGCUCAACGCCGUCGAGCCGUUGAAACUGGCGUUCUGGAGUGGGCGAGAAGUAUGCGGAAUGCGUGGUGUAGCGGUGAAAUGCAUAGAUAUCACGCAGAACUCCGAGUGCGAAGGCAGCAUACCGGCGCCCUACUGACGCUGAGGCACGAAAGCGGGGGUAUCGAACAGGAUUAGAUACCCUUGUAGUC